AACGAACGCUGGCGGCAUGCCUAACACAUGCAAGUCGAACGAGACCUUCGGGUCUAGUGGCGCACGGGUGCGUAACGCGUGGGAACCUGCCCUUAGGUUCGGAAUAACUCCCCGAAAGGGGUGCUAAUACCGGAUAAUGUCUUCGGACCAAAGAUUUAUCGCCUUUGGAUGGGCCCGCGUUGGAUUAGCUAGUUGGUAGGGUAAAAGCCUACCAAGGCGACGAUCCAUAGCUGGUCUGAGAGGAUGAUCAGCCACACUGGGACUGCGACACGGCCCAGACUCCUACGGGAGGCAGCAGUGGGGAAUAUUGGACGAUGGGCGAAAGCCUGAUCCAGCAAUGCCGCGUGAGUGAUGAAGGCCUUAGGGUUGUAAAGCUCUUUUACCCGGGAUGAUAAUGACAGUACCGGGAGAAUAAGCUCCGGCUAACUCCGUG
rnacentral:rRNA from 1 species